GAGGCGGAUCGGGUAUUGAGUCCAUGGAGCGAGCUGAGAGCUAGAGAACCUGCUAAGGCCAUCAAACCUAUCGAUCGGAAGUCAGUCCAUCAGAUUUGCUCUGGGCCGGUGGUACUGAGUCUAAGCACUGCGGUGAAGGAGUUAGUAGAAAACAGUCUGGAUGCUGGUGCCACCAAUAUUGAUCUAAAGCUUAAGGACUAUGGAGUGGAUCUCAUUGAAGUUUCAGACAAUGGAUGUGGGGUAGAAGAAGAAAACUUUGAAGGCUUAACGAUGUCACCAUUUCUACCUGCCACGCAUCGGCGAAGGUUGGGACUCGACUGGUGUUUGAUCACGAUGGGAAAAUCAUCCAGAAAACCCCCUACCCCCACCCCAGAGGGACCACAGUCAGCGUGAAGCAGUUAUUUUCUACACUACCUGUGCACCAUAAGGAAUUUCAAAGGAAUAUUAAGAAGACGUGCCUGUUUCCCCUUCGCCUUCUGCCGUGAUUGUCAGUUUCCUGAGGCCUCCCCAGCCAUGCUUCCUGUACAGCCUGCAGAACUCCUCCAGCCCACCCGAUUCCUCCCCACCUCCUCCACCUCCCCAGGCCCCACUCACCUCCUCCAACUCCUCCGGGGAAACCCAAGCCCUGCCGCUCAUGGAACAGAAGAACUGGAACCGAAGUUUCUGGAACAGGACUAUCUGAGAGCGGUUCUUCCUGGCCCUCGGGUUCAUGCAACGGCGUAACUGGAACCGACGCUUACGGACCAAGGGUAUGCGAGAGCGGUACUUCCUGGCCCUCGGGUUCAUGGAACGGCCUAACUGGAACCGACGCUUACGGAGCAAGGGUAUGCGAGAGCGGUUCUUCCUGGCCCUCGGGUUCAUGGAACGGCCUAACUGGAACCAACGCUUACGGAGCAAGGGUAUGCGAGAGCGGGUCUUCCCAUACAGGAAGUGGAAGAUGUUUUGUUUGGAGUCCUCGUCGUCCUCCUCCAUGUCAUUGGCCAGGUAGCUGAGGAUAGAAAUCAGGUUGCUGCUCAGGGGCACCACCAGGAGAGGCCUCCGGCUGAGGUCAGCUUCCCAGAGAGGAAGGUAAGGGACCGUCCCUAGCUCAGGACUGGCACCCACCCUGCAGAGAGCCACGCCUUCCUCAGGAGGGCUCUGCUGGACAGAGACCUGAUCAAGGGCGUCUCCCACUCCUUCAGGAUGGAGACAAAAACCCAACUGGUGGCCGAGAGUGGUGGCUUACGCCUGGAAUCCCAGCACAUUGGGAGGCCAAAGCAGGAGGAUCACUUGAGGCCAGGAGUUUGAGACGGGCCUGGGCAACAUAGCAAGACCCUCGUCUCUAUUAAAAAUAUAAGAAAUA
ensembl:lncRNA PMS2P4 PMS1 homolog 2, mismatch repair system component pseudogene 4